ACCACACCGCUAGCGCCUCUGAACCUCGCCAGGCACGUCCGGUUCUGCGGCCCCCACUCCGCCCCCGCCUGCCGGGAGCCGCGCAGUGAGUUACUGACUCCGCCGGCGCGCACUUCAUUUAUUCAAUAGCUCUGGGCCUGAAAAACACCGGGGAAAUUGCAUCCCAUUUUCCCCAAGCCCAUUAGCAACCAGCGGUCUCAUUCUCGAUGAUUCCGCUGAGCCACCCCGGCUCUAGGGGAGGGGGUUUUAUUCUGCCUCUGCCGCCACCCCCACCCACCCUCAGAAGGGCACCAGCUUUUCCAAUCUGUGAACCCCAAAGAACUGCAGGGCAGGGACCCCUGGGGACCCCUCAACCCCCCUCACCCCCGCAGCCUUCAGUACCUCCCGCCGGCAUUCCUCUACCCCCUCUCCAUGUCCACCCAGCCUGGCCCCAAGGGCGGAUUUCUUCUGGCUCUGGGCUCUAUUCUCGGGAGGGGGGCACUGGGGUGGGGGCGCCCAGAUUUGGAGUGGCAGCACCCCCUCCGCCUCCACCUCGGGCUGUGGGACCGCAGGCAGGUGGCUUCUCUGGCCUGCGUUUACUUUUUUUUGGCUGAAAAGGGGAAAGGUGGAACCACUGGCUGGCUGCCAGGAAAGGGCAUUGGGGGAGAUAAGGGGUGUAAAGGCCUUGACGAACGGGGUCCUCUUGGCCAGGAAGCAUCUUGGGGCUGCACUGGGCACACGGCAUUUUCCCCAACCCAGAGGUGGGCGCCCAGUGCCAGUAACUGGUCCAGGCUUCUAAAGGUCCCAUUCCUUUGUCUCUGCAGCCUGGUGCGCCCUGCCAGGCAGUUGCGGGGAGGUGGUGGUCUCUCUGUGGGGUCAUAGUUCAGAGCACGCGUGCUCGGAGACAUAGUUAAAUAGAAGCUGAAUGCGUGAAAUAUGAAUACAUCCUCACGGUCCUCGUCUCGUUAUAGGUUACAAAGUGCCGGGAGCCGUGCAGGGCCAGUGAACCCCUCGCUGAGACUCAGUUUGCUGCCAUCACAAGUGCUCUGAGAAUCCUGGAGAGGGAGGAUAUUGGAGACAAACGGGACUGCUGCCCGCCUUUUAGGCGACCGUUGGAGGCUGCUCUGUGCCGGACACAGGCAGGGAGGUGGAGGCCAGAUACAAGAAAACCACAGUACCAGUAAAUGACAAAGGCUGGAUCUUAACCCAAGUCCUCCGACUCUGAAGGCCAUACCCAACAGGUCCCAUUUUAUUUGUUUUACUUUUUUUUAAUUGAAGAAAAAAAAACUAGCAUUCCCCUACAGUGCCCCCCACCUGGUGGGGACAUCUUGGGUUGGCAAGGCCACCACUUUCAAGAGUAGAAGUGUUUUUCAGCAGGAGGAGUUGGCUGCACCAAAGGAGCUCAGGAGAAGCUGGAGUCUCAGGCCCAGCAGGAACAGCCAGAGGUUUUGCAGCUUUGCCCAGCGGCUGGGUUCGCCGAAGGGUCUCCCUGGGGGUUCCCAGCAUGAGCCGAAGCCACCCUCCCCUGUGGGAUCUGUGAGGCCAGGCAUUGGGCCUCUUUAGGCCUCAGUUUCCUCCCCUGUCAUAGGCAACUGACAGUCCCUCUGGAGCGCCACUGGGGCUGCAGAGGGAGGCCGGAGAGAUGGUGCCCCCCCUCCUCCCCGCCACCCCCACACACAGCCCUCAGCAGGAUGGUGGCUGCCUGGCCGAUUGCUUUUGCAUUUGCAGCAGAGCGGGGGAGUGAGGCCAAGCUGAGUGCCCCCUCCCCCUGCCCAGCCAGCUCAGACCCAGGCGGUGGAGCAGGAAGGCUCUGGGGAAAACAGUGUGAGUCACCGGGCGGCCAGAGUGUGUCCUUCCCUGCUAGCGCACUACACGGCAGGUUUCAUAGCUUGACAGCAAAGUGUUUGAAAACGAAGAGCAGGAAUUCCGCGGUUCCUGCCCGGCCUCGCCAUCCAGCUGGGAGAAGAGCAUGGUCAUUUCCUUCACUUAGUCCACGGCCACUCGGCGCUCAUCCCCAGCACAGCCCUCCCCAGGCUGCGGCAAAGACUGUUGCUGUCCUGCUGAGGGAUGUGCCCCCGGGGAUUCAAUCGAGAUUCUGUAAGAUGUGGGGGAUGUGGCGGGGUGGGGGGUGGCUUCUCCACAUCCCCAGGGCUCUCCUUCUUCCCCAGUGAGGUGGGAGAAGCCGCAGAUUGGGGUCUGCUGAGGAGCGGGCCUACAUGAGGCCCAGGUCGUGACCCAUGGCUCCGGGGACCAGAAGGUAAACAGUUUCGGCACAGGGUGCUCCCACUAGGUCAUAGGUGGAUUCAGCCUUCUCUGAGAACCGAGAAGAUUCUGGAGUCUUUUGAAGCAGGAAAGGAGAUCAGAGGAGGAGAUGGUGGCAAAGCGGGGACUGAGACUCUUGAAAUGUGUUUAUCCCAGGCAGAGCAGCCGCUGAAAGGGGAGAUGGAGAGAGAAUGUCAAAAGCAGCACUGGGUGUUUUCCUGGGGUCUCUCCACAGUGCCCCAUCAUUUCCGAAUCACCAGGCCCGCUGGCACAGGGGUCUGCAGCCCAACCUCGCAGAAUGACCCCCUCUCUGCAGGCGGGCAUCACCCUGACAGCCCCCUCCCAGGACAGAAAACCUAUAGACACCUGGCUGCUGGGUGUCAGGCCACCCGCCCGUUUCUCUUCCUUUCCUUCCAGCCUUUCCUCUCCCAACCAGCCCCCUCCCCACCCGGUCCCCCUUCUAUUUUUCCUGGCUAAAACCAGCCACAGAUACCACCACACCCGGAAAGAGAUAAAUAAAUAAAAGAAAAACAACCUCAACUGUGAAAAGCAGUCCAAAUCUGAAUUUUUUCCGGCCUGAGUUAAUUACACUUUAAAUUGGCAUGUUUACUGAUCGGGGAAUUUCAAGUUAACAGAGACAGCGCCCCCUCCCCAACUGUUUGUACAGUAGAACUCAGCAGGCUGGCGGGCUCCCCCAGGCCUUGGCAGGUCCUGCCGCUCCCCUGCCAACGAGAGAGCAUAACAGAAACAUCUAUUUUUGAGUGUUAGAGAAAACGAAGAUCUCACAGAUGGCGGGAAGCAGCAUUCUGGAUGGUUUCCUGCACCCAGGCUCUGUGCACCUUCUCAGCAGCCUCUUGCCCCAGGAAAGACCAGGGCCUUUGGCCUCUCGGGACCCUGCAAGCUAGCUGCCUUGCACAGGGGGCUGUCUGCCUAUCCCAUCGUCGAGGGCCGAGCCUGGUCGAGGCUCCCCAUGCUGUAGCACUGUCCAGUUGGCUCUGACCCCUUCUCCUUGGAGCAAGGCUGUGUGGGGUGCGGAGGGGGCUCUGGGCAGGAAGCAGGAGUCCCUGAUGCAUUCAUUCACUCAGCACACACCAAUGGAGCGAGGAGCUACACCAAAUAAAGUGGUGGCCUGAUCUCUGCCUUCUCAAGACCGACCCUAAUAAUGGGCCUGGGUCUCCCCUAGACCCCAUGUACCUUGGAAAAAUCCCAUCCCUGCUCCAGGCCCAAAUAGAGGCAACCAGUGGAUCUUCUGAUGGAUGCAAACCCAAGGAAUGCCUCCGGGGACAGGCCAGACCCCCAGCUCACAGCCACAUCUCUCCUGGCAGAAGUGGCCUGAUGUGGCCACCCCCGCCCCAGGCCUUGGUUCAUGGUCGGGAUCAACCGCAGGCUCUGCCGUGGGAUGUCCACACCCUCAGGACCCGCCGGGUGCCCUGUGCUGCCCACAGAGGAGAGACAAGGCCAACAAGCAUCACUGAGCACUUUCUCUGGACUCAGUCCUGUGCUAGGUACAGGGAUGCCAUUGUGCACAAGUCAGAAACAGCCGCGGCCCCAGCAGAGCCUGCAGUCUGGGUAGGGAGAUACUUGCUGAUCUAAGAAUCAGAGCAGUGGAUAUCUGACUGCAAAUUGAGACUGCCUGUGAAGGAUGAAUCAGGGAAGGCUUCCUGGAGGAGGUGGCCUCCCAGAGCUCAGCUUGUCCUUCCUUGAGGUCCUUUCCAUUCCCAGUCCCCCUCUGGUCACUCACUUGGCCCAGGGCCUAGGGCCUUCGGGCAGGCAGUGCAGCUGCACAGGCAGGUGCUGUACCUGCUCCCCUGCACGCUGCUGGGAUAACGGGAAAAUGAUGAAUGAGGCCCCAUCAUGCCCUGCUUCCCGGCCCUCAAGCCCAUUCCCAUCCAUGACAAAUUGUCCCUCUACCUCCACAGGGUCUUUUCAGCAGCCUCGCCUGGGAAGCCUUGGCAGCACUUGGUGGAGAUUUAUGCCCAUCUUCCCCAGAUUCUUCUUUGUUUUUCUGCUUCUUUAUUCCCUCAAAAUAUGCUUUUAUUUAUUCAUUCCACAAACGUUCUCUGAGUGCCUCCCGUGUGCUUCCUCCUGGUGAUAGAGAGAUCGGGUUCAGUACACCCUCCUGUGUUGAACACCUGCUUUGCACUGGUGUCUAUGGUCAGAUUUCAUCCAAGGAGACAGGCAUGAACUAAGCACCUACUAUGAGCCAGCACUGCCGAGCCAAGGGCCCUGGCUUCUAAAAGCUCUGCCACAGGGUGGCCGAAACCCCAGCCCCUUGGGUAUUGAGGUCCUGGCUUGGUGAUUUUGCAGCCCUUCUUGGUCUGGGUCGCCUCAAUUUUUACAAAGAAGGAAGCCGCUCGUUCAUCAGAGGUGGGUCUUGACCCCAGAGUCUCAACCCCAAAGCUGGGGAGACAGUGCUCAGAACAAAAGCCACAGCAAUGCACCCUGCCCUCUGUGGACCUCAGUUUUCUUACCUGUCCAAGGGUGUGAGCAGAGAGGCAGGACAAGAAGGGAGCAGCCCUGACAUUUGGGGGUUCUCUGAAUCCUUGAGGACCCCUGACGACCGUGAGCUCCGUGGGUCUCCAGGACUGCACCAGCCAACGUGUCUGUGCAGAGUGGUGGUACACAGACAAGGGUGGGGGUGGUGAGGGGAGCACCUGGUCCCACCCAGGAGAGAUCAACCAGAUGGUCUCAGCGCACCCACCACCUUCACUAGGUCUUGUUCACUCCAUGCAACUGAGGCAGUGAAUAUAGCCCUCAACUGCCAUCAAGCGGAGUGAAAAACACAGGUCAACAUAGGUCUUUGGUAUUUGGAUGCCCAUCAUGCUUUGAGUCUUCUGACAAAGCAAGCAGCCCUCUCCCCAGGCCAGACACGCACCAAAGCAUCCCACUUCAUGGGUGAUGGCACCAAGUUGGAGAGAUGACAGGUGAGUACAGAGAAAAAACCAUGAAUAUUCUGGCAAGCUAAGUCUGGGGGAAAGUGAGCCUACCUCAUCAUAUGAUACCAAGAAAAGAGGCCCAUUCGGUGAGCGAUCUGUCUUCCAGGACACAGGGGCUAUUCCUAAAGCCCGUGCAAGCAGGGUGGGUGAGAGCACACAGCCUGGAGCCAGACCCUGCCCCACCUCCAGCUGGGUGACCUUGGUUGACUCACUCAACCUCUCUGCGCUCCAUUUCCUCAACUAUGGAAAAGAAACUGUCUCCUCACAGCAGCUGAUGGGGCCCAGGACCAAGGCAAGCGCCCCAACACGACAGCUAUUACUUCUCCUCUUAUCUCCCGCUGAAACAACAAGGAAAUGGGAACGGAGGUCCAGGUUGUUCAAUUUCCCAACCACGUCCAGGAGACAUAGUGGGGAUAAACCGGGCCCUUGCACUGGAGAAGGGAGCACACCUCGUGAACUUGGACCGGCGGCAGGGUUUACACACCGCACUGAAGACGGGACAAGUCACAGAGCCUCUGGUUGAAGGGUCCAUGGAGACUUUCAUCCUGGCCACCUGUGGGGCACACGUUCUUAUUUGGCUUAUCUGAUGAGAAAGGCCCUUUGUUUAUUUUUUCUUCUCCGCAAACAAUAGAUAAAUCAAUCAUUUUUGCUUUUAAUGAAAUUCUGCAUCAAGUGGCACAGGGUCACUGUGUUUGGGUUAGAAAUCGGCGGGGAACAUGCACGCUGCUGCAUGCCGGGCCGACGCCGGACUCACCCCCUAAUUCUCAAGUGGCGCGUGAUGCACCCAGCACUCUUCCUGAGUGGUGGCCUGGGAGACUCGGCGGGGGGGCCGUGCCUGUUAACGCCGUGGUGUGCGGGGAUGGUUAUAUUGAAGCUAUUAAAUAAGGCUAAUGUCACUCUUCCCCUCACACACACAUUUAAUAUAUUCCAAAGAUGUGUAGAUGCAUUAACAGCAAUUUUCAUCUCCAAAUGUUCCCAUUUAGUCAGCCCCAUGCAUAAAAUAUGAGCCCUAACACCACGCUCCAGCCCGUUGCAGAUGGAGUUCCCCAGAGCAUUUGGCUCUCAGCGCUGGGGCGUUUGCUGGAGGGGCGGGGGCGCGAUCAGUCGGCAUCUGCAGGGGAACACAGGGCCUGUCACUUCCUCUGGGGCUUUGGUGCCCCCACCCCCCGACAAGUGGAAGAGAGAACCCAGACCCAACUGACUCGUGCCUCCUGCAGCUAAUCUCAGCCUCAUCCUGGAAGGGCAGAAAAAGCUAGAAAACCAAACAGCUUUGAACAAAUGGGAAGAAUUUCUAAAAAUCAAUUAACAUAUUCAUGUACUCCAUCACCACAUCUUAUUGACUGCCUGCUUUGUGCCCAGCACCUGCCUGGGAAUUCAUCUGAUCCGGUCCCUGCCUUUGGGGACUCCAUUAGUCAAUCAACAAACACUCACUGUUCUGCUACUGAACACAGCAGGGGAUGAGAGAGAGAGAGAGAGAGAGAGAGAGAGAGAGAGAGAGAGAGAAAUUUCUGCCAAUGAGAAAUCUCACAGUCUAGGGCACAAAGAAGGUAGACAUUAACAUUAGGCAAUUUCAGAGAACUGUAAGCUAGGAAGAAAACAGUAACGGGGCAACUGGUAGAAUGUGAUAGGGAAGAGGCAAGGGGAGCUGCUUUUAUAGGGUUAUCAGGGAUGACCUUGCUGAACAAGAGCCAUUCCAUCCCCUUGGGAAUUGUGAACCCCUGGGAAAGGAAAAUGCAAAGGAUGUGGGCCUUUAAGGAAGGAAGGGCCAGAGCCUGGACAGGAGGCAGCCGAGGGCAGAGCAGGGCGGCCCAGGACCCAGCUCCGGAAGGAGGGGCAUGUGCAAGGCCAGAAUGAAGGAUGAAAACACGUGGGGGAUAGGCUGUGGCUCCAAAAGAAGAGGGGGGCUGCCACUCUGAGGGCCUGGGGGGUCCUCGGAUCAUUUUGGUACCAAGCCCAAGGGAAGGGGCCUGCAGAGGUGCCCUGGGCAGCGGAGUUAAACAGCUGGACUCUGCACUUGGAAAUGCUCUCCCUGGCAGAGGGAGGGGCACUGGAGGGAGACCCAAGUGCCACAGGCUGGAGGGACCUAGCCUGUGGGGCGGCCUCUCCAGCAGGGCUGUGGCCCAGGGGCUGGGGAAGAGGGGUGCUGAGGGAGAGUGGGAGCAGGCAGCCCAGAGGGAUGGUGCCAGGGAUCCCCACUCCCAUGCUAGGCAUGGAGAGGAGCGGUCCCGAGGAGGAGGACAAGGGGGAGGGCAGGCACAGGCUGUGACUUCCAAGGCAGCGACGUCUCAACUAGGGGAUGACGGGAGCCCAGCUCAGGAAGAUCUCCCGAGCCCAGGAGCUCACUGAUCAACAAUGAGUGAUAAAGGACAGCCUUAGCUCAUUCUUUGGGGUCACUCCUGAGGUGCUCCUUGCCUUCAGCCCUGGACCCUGGGCAUGGGCAGCAUGUUCUGGAGUCACUAAGUCUCCAGGUCAGCUGCAAACAGGCCUCUGGUCAUCUUCCUGUAGUCUGGGCAGGCCAGGGGUGCAAAUAUGACAUAAGCAUCGGGUAGCUGAGAGCCAGCCCAGCCUGGGGGAUGUGCCAACCGGAAGCAAGGGCAUGGCGGGUGCUCCCGCUGACACUGGAAUUGGGGAUGCCAUUCUGUCACACUUCCAAAGCCCCCCAGAACAGAGUGGAGCUGGAAAAUUAACAGGCCAAGUGACACAGGUCCUACACAAAGUCCACAGGGUCAACCAGCGCAGAGCCAGCUGCUGCCUGGAGUUGACAGCAAAGAGGAAGGCAUCCAAGGUGGGAUUCGAUAUCGGAAAGAGGUUGACUGUAUAAUAUUCAUCAUAUAGAAAGUGAACACCUCACAGGCAACCUAUUUCAGGUACCACUGAGCAGCACUGACUCCAGGGAGGAGGCUUCUUCCACAGGGAAGGGCCCUGCCACCCACCCGCCUCCAGGAUGGAGGCCAGCACAGGGCUGCAGGUGGAAGUCAAGCGCGUGCUCGGCCACCAGCCAUGCCUCUGGGGGCCCACAGGGCGCGCAACCGGACCUCCCCGACAUCAGCAGGUGCAGGAAUCAUGCAGGUGGGAUCUGAUACUGAAGAGAGGCCGCUCGUGUCUUGUGUGUCAUGAUUUCUGUGAAUGCAACACAGGCCACCUCUCCUCAGGCACCACAAGGAGCAGCACACGCACACGGCCACCCAAGGCACCAGCUCCCACCCAGGGUCUCACAGCACUGAGAUGAGCAGAAGGCAGCCCAGGUGCAGGGAAUGCAUGCAGCCGCCCCCAACAUCCUGGCGAGGGGUGGGUGGCCUUCCAGCAGGAUGCCUUCCAGCGGGACUAGCUCCCCCGUGUCCUCUGCCUCGAUGACACUGGCCAUGAAAAACAGACUGAGCCCCGUCACCAUUGCUCAUCAGCUUCAUGACCGCCCCCCACCACAGUGCACAACCCUAGCAUCUUCCCCAAAGUCCACAUGGCCCCCCGAAAGCUCUCCCAAAAUGAUUCAAUGGCGGGGGUCAGGGGAAAGGAUGACAAAUGUCACACCAGCCCAUGCAUUCACGUACCCUGGAAAGUCCCGCCUCAGGCGUGGCGCCCGCACACCACCGGGCGGUAGCGGUACUGAAAACAGGCCAUCUGUGUUAUAUUCGUCAUUAAUAAAAGCGAACUCAUCACAGACAACCUCUUCUCAGGUACCCAGAGUGCCAUCGGCUCAAGAACGUGGCUGCCGCGUCCCGUGGUGCCAGCGCUGCCCCCGGGAAGCAGUCCUGAGGACGGAUGGGACAUCAAAGGUGAGAAGACACAGAGACAGGAAAGAGACCCCUGCCCGGCCCACUCUCGGUGACCAGGCCCCACUGAGGCAGCGACUCCAAAGCACCCGUCCUGCUCCUACCCUCAAA
rnacentral:lncRNA from 1 species